rnacentral:rRNA from 1 species
GACGAACGCUGGCGGCGUGCUUAACACAUGCAAGUCGAACUGAAAGGCCCUGCUUUUGUGGGGUGCUCGAGUGGCGAACGGGUGAGUAACACGUGAGUAACCUGCCCUUGACUUUGGGAUAACUUCAGGAAACUGGGGCUAAUACCGGAUAGGAGCUCCUGCUGCAUGGUGGGGGUUGGAAAGUUUCGGCGGUUGGGGAUGGACUCGCGGCUUAUCAGCUUGCUGGUGGGGUAGUGGCUUACCAAGGCUUUGACGGGUAGCCGGCCUGAGAGGGUGACCGGCCACAUUGGGACUGAGAUACGGCCCAGACUCCUACGGGAGGCAGCAGUGGGGAAUAUUGCACAAUGGGCGGAAGCCUGAUGCAGCAACGCCGCGUGCGGGAUGACGGCCUUCGGGUUGUAAACCGCUUUCGCCUGUGACGAAGCGUGAGUGACGGUAAUGGGUAAAGAAGCACCGGCUAACUACGUG